UCUUCCCCCCGCACUCGCUGCCCGUGUCCGCCGUUCGCGAGCCCAGCACAAGCGGCCUAGCGGCCGGUCACCGCCGCUCCGCCGGUCUCGCCCGCGACGUGCAGCCCUGUCGCCCGAUCGCCUCCGCCACUGCCCGCUCAGCCGUGCCGGAACGCUCGCCGCCUCCGAGCGUCUCCACCUGCAACCUGACGCCAGCAGAUCUCGGGCCGGUCACCCCUCACCUGCGAGCUCGCACCGCCGCUCCGCCAGCGACCCGCGAGCCCGACGCCUGCAGUCGCGCCACCGCUCACUCGUCCCCUGCAGCUCCCCCCUCCGAGCGAUGGCACCACAACAACUUCCCCUCCGCCGCACCUGAGUGAUCUGCAGCCUUCCUCGCCGAGCCCCCUACUGCCAGAGGAGGACUCAGAGCCAGAGGAGACGGGAGUCGGGAGAGAUAAAAACGGUUUGUGGAUUUUAUCGGUUUAUGGUUCGGAUCGGUUCAGUUCGGUUAACCGAUAAAAGCCGAACCAAUAAAAGAAUAUUGGUUUUUAAUGGGAACCGAACCGAA
rnacentral:lncRNA from 1 species